UACGUAGGGUGCGAGCGUUGUCCGGAAUUAUUGGGCGUAAAGAGCUCGUAGGUGGUUUGUCGCGUUGUUCGUGAAAACCGGGGGCUUAACCCUCGGCGUGCGGUCGAUACGGGCAUCACUGGAGUUCGGCAGGGGAGACUGGAAUUCCUGGUGUAGCGGUGAAAUGCGCAGAUAUCAGGAGGAACACCGGUGGCGAAGGCGGGUCUCUGGGCCGAUACUGACGCUGAGGAGCGAAAGCGUGGGGAGCGAACAGG
rnacentral:rRNA from 1 species